rnacentral:rRNA from 3 species
CAACUUUCGACAACGGAUCUCUUGGUUCUCCCAUCGAUGAAGAACGCAGCGAAACGCGAUAGGUAAUGUGAAUUGCAGAAUUCCGUGAAUCAUCGAAUCUUUGAACGCACCUUGCGCUCUAUGGUAUUCCGUAGAGCAUGCCUGUUUGAGUGCCGU